rnacentral:lncRNA from 1 species
UAUUGAUCAGCUACAUGGGUUUGGUUCAUAACCUGAUCUGCACCUCUCUCUCUCUCUCCCUCUCUUUGCCUUUCUCUUUCCCUCCUUUUAUGUGUGUGUGUGUGUGCUCUACUAUGUGUGUGUGAGUCGUUUAGCUUUGGACAUUGAACUUUGAAAGGUGCAAGAUGGUUAUGAAUUAAACCUGNNNNNNNNNNNNNNNNNNNNNNNAAACUCUUGAAAUCUGCACUUGUAAAGAUUAGUGUUUGGAAAGUUUUUACCGUAGUUAUCUGUUUAUAAACUGUUGCAUAUGGUAAUUGUUCAUGAUUGAUUUUUUGUAGAUGAAUUAUGUAUAUGUCUUUUUUGGUUUUGCAAUUUUGGCUCCUCAUGUAUUUCAGAAAAAUGAAUUGUGUGAUAUGUUUUGUUACCCAAUGAUGGACAAAUAGACUAUUGAGUGGCUACAUGGUAUUGUUUAUAGCCUGACGUGCACCGUUGCUUCUGGCAUUCUUUCUCUCUUUCUCUUUCUUGGUUACUCUCUCUUUCUCUAUCUACCCAUUCAUUUAUUCAUUCAAUUCAAAAAUAUAUAUAUAUAUAUAUAAAUAAAUAUGGAAAUGGUGCACGAAGGUUGUGAUCAUGCCAUUGUCAUAAGCUGCAUAUGAUUUAUACUUAGCUAUGAGAUCUGAGGGUUUUUGUUGCAUUCAAAUAUCCCACCUCUUAUUCUAACAGUCUAAAUGUUUUAAUNNNNNNNNNNNNNNNNNNNNNNNNNNNNNNNNNNNNNNUUUUUUUUUUUUUUUUUUUUUUUUUUUUGUAUUUGUGGUUAUAGACUAAAAAAUGUCAAUUUUGAAACUUCUCUCGCAAUCCUGCCCAAUGAUGUUUAAAUAGACUAUUGACUGGCUACAUGGGUUUUGUUCAUAACCUGAUAUGCACCUCUCUCUCUCUCUCUCUCUCUCUCUCUCUCUCUAUGAUCUGUAUCUCUUUCCCUCAUGUGUGUGUGUUUGUGUUUGUGUUCUGUUUGGAUUAACAGCUUAGAAAGUUGCAAGAAGGUUAUGAAUUAAACCUGUGGUUAAAGCUGUAGAUGAUUUUGUAAUAAGCUAUGAGAUCUGAGGGCUCUAAAUUGCUAGUGCUUUUGUUGUUUUUAUUUUUGUUUUCAAGACUUGUUUUUGUGUAGAGGAUUACUUGAAUCAAUUAACUCGGCCACAUUUUAAUCGUAGAGUUACUACUUCAAUAUCACUCUAUUGUAUGCACCAUUUGUUAUUUGUUUACAAUGUCUGUACAAAUUAGAUUGCUAUGAUUAACGGUCUCAUAGCUAUAGUCUUAUUCAUAGUGUUUUGGUUUAUGUCCUGUUUUGCAGUUCUACAAGUCCUUUUUCAUUUUUCAAGUUUGGCUCAUGUUCUAACCUUAUUUCAAUUUGAAAUUACUGUCUAUAUUAUCUAUUAUCUAUAAAUAAAGCACAUAUAUUUCCUUGUUGUUGAACACUUUCAGUUCAUCUGUUGAUGCAGGAUCACAUGGAGUAUUUGCUUGAUGAAAAAUUUGAAAGGUUGGCUUUGUAGUAUCUUUGCCUGAAUGAUAUUUGAUAAACUGACAUCAUACAUCAACUAAUUAGUGAGUAAUACCGGUGAAUUGUGAAUUUAUUGACCGAACUCUUGCAUUAAUCUUCCAACAGAGUUCUGUUUCAAAGGAGUUACAAAAGAAUUUAGAAAAAUGUAGUUAUGUUAUAACGGAGUUAUGAAAGAACUUGAGUAACUGAGAUUAACUGCUGAUCACCACAUAGAGGGGCUGCUGCGUCUCGUAAACAUUCAACUACAAAAUACAGCUCAUAUCUAAACUAAGCGGAUGCUGGGUAAUAUUCAGUAUCAUUCACUUCUGUGUUAGGUCUGGCAUGUUUGAGAUGUUGGCAUAUUUGAGAUGUCUUGCAUUGUAAAAAUAUGAACCGUUUUUCUUUAUGUUGGUGUAGAGUUUAAUCUGACAUUAUCAUGACAGAGUUUGAUGUAAAUUACUUUGUAUACCAAUUUAUUUUUUGGCAAGUCAUUUAUGGGGUUAAGUCUUUUAAACAAAUGAUAUUCCAUAGACCUUGGAUCAUGAGGUUAAGUCUCAACUCUCAAGUAUUUAUUAAAGACAAAUGUAGUAGUUCAUACAAAAUGUUUAGCAAACGAACUUUUGCAAAUUUGUAUUUUUUUAAUUUUAUUUUUAUCACAUUUGAGAAAAAAAGAAAGCAAAUUUGGUCACAACUUAUAAUUUUUAAUUUUUUUUUUUACUAAAAUAAAAUAUAUUCAUUCAAAUUGGUUUAGUACAAGCAAUUCAAAGAUGUUGGUUGAUGCCAAUCAUUCGAGAAAACUAGGCAAUUCAGAGUUUGUUUCACUUAUUAAUGACAUUAUUCAAAGUUGUUGGUUGAUGCCAUCUAUUCAAGAAGAUUAGGUAAUUCAGAGUUUAUUUCACUUAUUAAUGACAUUAUUUUUCUUAUGUCAUCUUUUAAUGUAAACUUUGAGGUUAAAUUUGUUAUGAGACAAACAAAUGUGGUUGCUCAUACUCUUGCUAGGGCGGCCAAAUGUUGAGCUAGUUUUCUUAAAUUUGAGAUUAUUCAUUUAUGUAUUGAACAUUUAUUAGUUAAUGAUAUGAAUUAAUUUUGUUUGCUUCAAAAAAAUUGGUAGAGUACAUCAGAUUUAAGUACAAAUUCAAUAUAACUAAAAACGAAAAGGAUGAAUCUGCAAACAAACUCACAACAUCCAAGUUAAUAGCAUAAAAUGACAUACUCAUGCCUACAAAUAACGUGAUAAAGUUAAAGUAACCGGAAUACAUAUGUCUUCGGAUCUGUAUCGUUGACGAACUUAAUCACCGUGUGAAUCAGUGGCGACGGGACAACGAAAUCACAAAAAAAACACACAAAAGAAAACUUUAAUCUAUUUGAAAACCACUUACUGUAUUUAGAUUAAAGCAAAUAGAACUAGAUGCAAAUGGGUGAUUUUGGGUCGAAAAAAAUCUAAAAUCACCCCAUUUUUUAUGAAAAGGAGAAGAAGAAAAGUUAGAGAGAAGGAGAAGUUUAUCUCUCUAAAAAAAAUUAGGUCGGCUUAACCAAUUCACUUUAAUUUAGAGAUCCAAAUCCUUUGAUAUUACUCAAUUUAAUUAAGAUACCAAUUAAGGGUUUUGGCUAAUGUGAACAAUUGGCUAAUAUGAACAAGUAAAUGAUGUAUUUCAUGAUGCACAAGUUAAUAAUAUUGUUGGAUUGAAAGUGUCUAUAUAUAGGUCAUUCAUGUCAAAUUUUAAAGAAAUUGAAAAUCACUGAGAUCCUUCCAAAUUAAAGUUAUUUAAUCAAAAUCAUAAACCGUUAGGAAAAAGUAGAAUAUAUGUAUUUUUGCCAUUUGCGAUUCGUGGAGAUAGAGUAGAAUCAAAAGUAGGGAUAUUUUUUUCUAUACCAGAACAAUUAUUCCUCUACCCAUCCCAACAAAUCAUAGAAAAUACCAAUUUUAACCCUUUUUUACGGAAACAAAUUUCCUGUUGUGUAUUUUAACACAGUUUUCACACUGUAAUGUAUCACAACCGUCUGAUCUGUAAUGUACGACCAUGAUCAUUUUAAGAGAUUUAUCACGGAAUCAAUAUGUACCGUCCGAUCAAUAAUUAAUGGUUCAGAUUGAUAACUGUGUGAAAACUGUGUGCUAAAUUACUGUAGCAAAAUCUUGAUCCUUUUUUACACCCCUUCACCACAUGAGUUUUCCGGUACCUUAAUCAUAUCUGAUAAAAAAAAGUACCACACCUGAAAACUUGAGGAGGUUAUUUCCUGUACCUUAAUCUCAAUCAAGUUUAUGGUAGGAUCUCAGAAACUUACUUUUCCCACAACCCAGUUCCAUGGAUCAACGAUCUUGCUCUACAAAUUUCUCCCAACAAAUACAAAUAUAUCUUAAAAAAUUCAAUCAACUUGAAAUCCAAAUUUACAAGACACGGAGUAAUUUAGUUCCUCCCAUCAAAUUUUUAACUAACACCGUUAGAUGUGAACACGUGGCGAAUGGAAAACACACAUGGACAGACACAUGUGAUUACUUACCCAUCAUCUUGGACUAAAUUGUGUGCUAAAUUAUUGUAGCAAAAUCUUGAUCCUUUUUUACACCCCUUCACCCCAUGAGUUUUCCUGUACCUUAAUCAUAUCUGAUAAAAAAAACGUACCACACCUGAAAACUUGAGGAGGUUGUUUCCUGUACGUUAAUCUCAAUAAACUUGAGGAGGUUGUUUCCUCCCGUCAAAUUGUUAACUAACACCAUUAGAUAUGAACACGUGGCGAACGGAAAACACACAUGGACAAACACAUGUGAUUACUUAUCCAUCAUCUUGAACUAAAUUGACUAACGUAACUAACAUUCAGUAAAUUUUCUUCAGUUUUUGUUAACUCAGGGACUUAUAUGACGGCGAGUGCCGAGGAAAGUGACUGUUUAUUCAAAAAAGUAAAUCUAAUAAAAAAGAGUUGCAGCAUAAACCUAUAUCGCUAGUCCAUUCCCCAUUGAUUGACUUCUUAUCCAAAACUGAGUUGCUUUUGUUACAACCAAACACACUCACAGAGUCACAGUAUCUCGUUCCAACUGUUUUUAAAUGUCAUUUUCAGCGUUGAGUUACGGCGGUGCUAUCACUCUUUCCCCUUCCAACAAUUUCAAUCGUCGCCGAGUUUACUCUCAAGCUCAUUCCAAUUCCCAAUUACGUCACAAACCUAUCCCACCCAUCGUCAAAUUCACUAAGAUGUUAACUUCCCUUGUUAAAAACAAUCAGUUUCACACUGCUAUUUCCCUCUCUAAUCAAAUGGAACUCAUAGGAAUUCAACCUAACAUUGUUGCUUUGAACAUCUUAAUCAAUUGUUUCUGCCACCUUAGUCAACUUAAUUUUGCAUUUUCUGUAUUGGCAAAAAUUCUAAAGCUAGGUUAUAAGCCUAAUACAAUAACAAUGACUACACUUAUGAAAGGCAUGUGUCUUAGUGGUCAGGUUAAUAAAGCAUUGGAUUUUCAUGACGAUGUUAUAUCAAAGGGAUUUAAGCUUGAUCAAAUUAGUUAUGGUAUCUUGAUUAAUGGGUUAUGUAAAAAANNNNNNNNNNNNNNNNNNAUUGUCAAGAAUAUUUCUCCUAAUGUUGUCACUUACACUAGUUUAAUAUAUGGCUUUUGCAUUGUGGGUCAAUUCAAAGAAGCUGUUGGUUUGUUAAAUGAAAUGUUGUUGAAAAACAUCAGCCCGAAUGUUCUUACUUUUAAUACACUGAUUGAUGGUUUAUUUAAGAAAGGAGAGGUGAGAAAGGUUAGAAAUGUGUUAGCUGUUAUGUUAAAACAGGGUGUGAAACCUAAUGUUGUUACUUAUAAUUCUUUAAUGGAUGGGUAUUUUUCGGUUAAAGAAGUAAACAAGGCCAUAUAUGUGUUCAACACUAUUGCUCGAACGGAAGUGAAACCAGAUGUUUAUAGUUACAGUGUCAUGAUUAAUGGAUUAUGCAAGAAUAAAAUGGUGGAUGAAGCCGUGAAUCUCUUCAAAGAAAUGUAUUUAAAAAACAUCUCUCUCGAUACUGUAACAUACAAUUCGCUUAUUGAUGGGCUUUGCAAGUCAGGGAGAAUCUCUGUUGUUUGGGAUUUUCUUGAUGAGAUGUAUGAUAGAGGUCUACGUGCUGAUGUGAUCACUUACAAUUCUAUAUUGGGUGCUUUGUGCAAAAGCCGUCAGGUUGACAAGGCAAUUGAAUUAUUAGCGAAGAUCAAAGACCAAGGAAUUCAACUAGAUAUGUAUACAUACACUGUACUUGUCGAUGGACUAUGCAAAAAUGGAAGACUUAAGGAUGCACUAGAGAUUUAUCAGGAUCUUUGGAUUAAAGGCUACCAUUUUGAUGAGACGAUGUAUACUGUUAUGAUUGAUGGGCUUUGUAAAGAGGGCUUGUUUGAUGAAGCAUUAUCCUUAAUGUCAAAAAUGGAAGGUUGCACCCCUAAUGGCAUAACUUACACAACUCUUAUUAAGGCUUUGUCAAAAAAUGGCAAGAAUGAGAAGGCGGUGAAACUUCAUUGUGAAAUGAUUGCUAGAGGUCNNNUCUUUUUUUAUUCCUUAAUAGCUAUCCUUUUCUUCCCAAUUUUGUGUGAAUCUGCAUCAUAUUUUUCAAGGAUAUUUUCCAUUCACUGUCAUUGUUAGAGUUCAAUUUAUAUUUAAUAGAAUAGAUGAAACGAAAGAUGUUGCAUCUUUAGAGAACAUGAUCCGAGGAGGCAUGUGUAAGUAUUACAGAUAGGUCUAGCAGGCUGCAAUGCACCUUUAGCUAGUUGCGAGGUAUUCAGUUCAUUUUUUAUCUGGCAACUUUAGGAUUUGCAUUUAAACUUCAACUGCUGGAGCAAGCUUGCAUACACCAGUUUUUCGUUUUCCCGAUCGAAAAGGGUAGCCGGACAUAAAUGAAGUUAUUUAUAAUAAGCUUCUGUUUUUCCUUUUUCAAAGGUCUUAAUGUCUUGUGUCUUUUAGAUUAUAAGCAUCUUUUUAUUUUUCCUGUUUCAAAGGUUUUAAUGUCUUAUGUCUUUUAGAUCUACAUGAUGAUUUGUUGUAAUAAAUGUCGUCAAGGCUUGUUUCACUUCCUCUCCUUUGUUCUUCUGAAUAUAAUAUUUAAUUUAAUCUUAUACACUGGAAACGAAAGAGAUAGAACUCACGUUGUUAGCAUGUGUAAAACCAAACCAGUUGUGCGCUCUUCAUAUGCUGGAAUAGUUACAUGCAUGCAACUGAAGAGUUUGUUCUUCACUUACCUAGAUAGUUCAUCACGGGGAAACUUCGUUGAAUGCACCAAAUGAAACAUCUCAAAGAUAACUAAGUUAACUAGGUUCUAUAUGUGUUUGUUAUGCUUGUGAUUUUCGACAAUAUUGGAACCUUACUUUCAUGGUUUGUCAAAUGUAUACUGUGAACCAUACACUCAACCCAUUUAAAAACUUGAGUUUCUAAUUGAGAGGAAAAAAUUGACCAAAGAUGAUGCUAGAAAACUGGUUUGUUAUGAUGUAUGACCUAUGUUGUUAAUACCUAUGGUUUGUCAAAUGUAUACUGUGAACCAUACACUCAACCCAUUUAAAUUCUAUGGUCUUGUUCUGACUUCACUACUUCAGCACCUUUCUAUCAUUAUAGUUUGAUUUUUUACUAGUAGCUAAAUUCUUAGUAAAUUCUAGCAUUGUUGUGAGCUUUGAUAUACACAAUUAUGGUUUCUGUCAUCACAGUGUUUGAUUUGAUGUAUGACUUUAAGGAUUUUUUGAAUCUACUCUUGGUCUUAAUGUGUCUCCUGGCAGGACUUUUUACCUAAUACAAUUGACUAUUAGUUUAUUAUGGUUUCAUGAUUUAUUUAUUAUUGAAAAUGUCAUACUGACAUAUGUGCUCACUCUGUGAAAUGAUGGCUGCUAUUUGAUAUUACAGAGAAACUUCUUUGUGAAAUGAUGGCUAGAGGUCUAUUAUAAGAGUAAAACAAGGUGAGAUCCUUUCUAGUUACAAAUUAAGUUAUUUGAAUUUUCAUGACUACCACCCUAUGUUUAUUUCCUUUUAAUGUCACACAUAGGAAUUAAGAUGGACUACACUUGCAAUUUAGUUUUUAUUAAAGUUAGAUGUUUUUUUGGUUCAUAUUGUUAUUGAAAGAAUAGUAGUGAUUAAUUUGUCUUCUAUUUUUUCUAGUCUCGACAUAUUGCAGUAGCUACAGUCAAACUUUUUGCCACAAUCUUGCCCAAUGAUGUAUAAAUAGACUAUAAAUCUCUCUCUCUCUCUCUCUCUCUCUCUCUCUCUCUCUCCUGUGUGUUUUGUUUGGAUUAACAGCUUAGAAAGUUGCAAGAUGGUUAUCAAUUAAACCUGUGGUUAAAGCUGUAGAUGAUUUUGUAAUAAG